UGCAUUUCAAACCUCUGCAAUUGAAACAGAUAUUAGAAUUCUGCAUGGGGAAAUCACCCAGGACCAUUUGGACCACUUUAUCCAAUGUGUCCAACGGAAGACUUGAACAGGCAUUCAUAACAUCCCGAAGGAGUUUUCCAUUCUCAAGGUAAGUAUACUCCGGAGGACGUCUAUUAGCACUAUCAGCAUGCAACUCAAAAACAUUCGGAGAGACAACCUACUCUCAACAAAAAACAACAAAUAGCAAAAAACCCACAUUACUAACCUAUAAGAUGCUAAACCUACACAAACAAAAAAACAACCAUCCCUCCAUUUACUUACCUGAUUCCCCUUACAACUCCCACAAAAGCACAAAAUCCCGGCAUCUUUAAUCACACCUUGUAAAUCCUUUUCUCCUGGUUUACGCGCCUACACAGCAAUCACGAAUAAACUCAUAUGACACUAAUGCACCACAAGAAGAGAAAAAAAAACUCCUAACAUCAUUCACAAUUUCACAAACAAGACCAAAAUCAAAAGUUCAAAACAAUAUACCUUUUGUCCCUUGACAUAUCUCACUUUCAAUCCCUCCAGAAUCCCAGUAGCAAGAAGAUCCUUCAACUUGACAGGAAACCUCUUACCAGAACCUCCCUCCAUUGUUUGGUCACAAGAAGAGAGAGAGAUGGAUUUGAUUUGCAUGUGCAGAGGGAGUUAUAUAUAUAGUAUGAAUGAAGUGCCAACUCAUUAAUAACUGUUAACCAUUUAAAAAUCCUUUCAAGUUCUUUUUUGGUAUCUAAUUCCUUUUAGUUAUGACUAUACCAUUUGAAACCUGCCAACUUAUCAAUAACUGUUAUCACUUUUGAGUUUUAAGGUAAAACAACAUUAUAAAUUUUGGGAAUUAUUUUGAAAAUAGUAAUGGAUCAUAUAUUUUGGAGUUUAUGUUACUAACUUACCAUGUCAGUAACUAUACCAUAACAGAAAACUACCAACUAAUCAAUAGCUGUUAACCAUUUAAAAAUCCUUUAAAGUUCUUUUUUGGUAUCUAAUUCUUUUUAGUUAUGNUACUCUAUUAAGAAGCAAGUUACAAAUUACAACUCAUUAAUAACUGUUAACAACUGAAAAGUUCUGUCCUUUUUCGUAGUAUCUAUUAAAUUUCCAAAAAUGGUAUGAGACCCUUGCUUUGCAGAUCAAUCAUUGAAGUAUUUAGGCAGAACAAGAUCUAUUUUUCAUGGGACAAUUAGGUAGUUGCCAUUGUUGUGAUCAAACAUAUAGUACUAAAUAGCGGAUCCUGAAACUAUUGCGCAAUAACAACACUAUUGCCUCUAUUUGAGAACAUUUUUUGUCAACAACGCAUUAGUGUUGAAGCGCCGCUAUAUUGUGGAACAAUUGUGGUUUAUCUUAAUUAUUUAUUAUACUCACUUCCUAUUUUCCUAAUUUGAAAUCCGAAAAACCUAGUAAUUUUGUACUAAAAUGCAAAGUUACAAUCCUAAAGAGGCAGAUUAAUUAAGGACUACUUUUAUAUUGAGUAAAAAAAAAAAGACUACUUUGUUUUUUCUAGAGAAAUGCAUUAGAAAUUUUAUUUGGAGACAGUGAUAAAAGGAAGCCAUUAUUUAAUGUUUUCAAGAAUGAUAGUCCCUUGAGACUGGAUACAAUGCAUGAGGACUACUCAACACAGUGUAAAUGGCCAAUCCAUGGUCAUGUGAUUCCUGCUUUGUGGCCAUGAUUUCCUAACUACAGUUGCAUAAUUACUGCUUCUGUCCAGACUCAACUAGACAAAAUUAAUAGAUGACAGAAAAUUUUCAUUGACAAUAUCCCAUUGUACAGAUUUCAUAUCCACUACUAAAGUAUUGAAAUUAUUCACAACUCUAAUAUGAUCAUCUUUAGUACACUUUCCUCAACAAGAAUUAAUAGAUGAACAGAAAAAUGAAUCUUGUCAUGGGAACUAAAUUCUUAAUCAUCCUUCCUAAAUACAACUAAAACAACAGAAAAGAAAACAAUGGUGUCUUUUGGAAUCAUUUCCUGAAUCUUUGCACAGCCUCGACACCAAAACUAAUCGCAGCAGUACUCUAAAUGUCCUCUUCAUUAGGAGACUUUUUGUCCUGAUCAUUUGCAGCACGAGUUGUUGUUGUUGUGGGAUUUAUGUUUCCAUCUGCAGCCGGAAAUUUGUUGGAAAAGCUUCUAAUUCUUUGAUGGCCUUUAUGGAAUCUGAAUUACCAUCUUGAGCAGCAGCAGCAGAAGAUUCUCCAGCUGAUUUCUCUUCCUCAAGUUCUGCGGUAAUCUAAUUAACCAAUAGCUAAAGAUUGUUAAUUCAAAGAUCUCACUUUUCACAAAACAAAUUAUGUGCGACAUGUCUAACACUCUUUUUAACACUUCAUUUACUGUCGAAGUGAAAUUUAUGUAAGUUCUACCAUUUUGAAAUAUAAGUCCCACAUGAAUUUUUCAGUCAAUAUUAAAGAUAUUAGAGAUUGCUAACAUGGCUUAUUUACUUCAAUAGGGUCGUCUGAUAUGAGGGAAUUCACACCAGUACUUUCAAAAGUCUUUCCAUUAUCAUCGGUCAAUAAAACGGAACAUGCUGCUUUGUUGCGGCUAGGACGACCAUCUUCAUCAGCGGGCCAUGAUAGAGAUAAAGAAGUUAUCUCAAAUACUCCCUGCAUGUAUAGGACAUUGAAACAAACAAACAAAUUAAUAAAUAAAACUACACAACAGAAAAAAGAACUUUAUAAGAUUCAAAGUUUAUUUAAUAUGAAUUGGAGCUUGAGUUAAUUACCGUGCGAGUGUGAGAACCAUCAUGAUCACGAAAGAGAACGUCUGAUACAGAACUAUAAAAUAUGUUCUGAAACCAUGCUAACAAGUUGACGAUGAUCAUAUUCCUUAGAUAGUUGGUACUUGGUAUAUAGUAUCCACCACAGCCUGAAAAAUCAUUAAUUAAUGGUAUGCAACUCGCCAUAGUUCAAAUGGAUGGUAUACAGCUUGGAAGAAUUUUCUCCAGAAGUAGUUUCAGUUAGUGCAGGAGCCCAUUCAAAUUUUCUAUUGUUUGGUGUUAAGUUGAUAGAAGAAGCCAAUAGCAAUCUUGAAGAAUCACUCAAUAGCAAUUUUGCACCUGCCUCAUUCAUUGCUGCAUCAUCACCACCAGUAACCUCAUUCAUUGCUGCAAUUUACUAUGCAAUGUGAAGAGUGAGAAUGAGAGAGAGAGAGAGAGAGAGAGAGAGAGAGAGAGAGAGAGAGCAAGAGAGAGAGAGAGAGAGAGAUGGAUUUAAUUUGCAUAUACUUCAGGAGUUAGAUUGAUAGUAUGAAUGAAGAGCUAGCUAAGAAGGAAUGAUGUAACUCACUAAUUAUAACCAUACCAUAACACCACUAUAGCCUCUAUUUGACAACAUUUUUAUCAAGUCUUUUAUCUAUCAAAAUGUGACAAGUUGAUCCUUUUGUUGAUUUUUUUAUUAAAAACAAUGAAAUAAUAAUUUUAUUAAUAACUUUACUAGAAUAUGUAUGUGAGUUAAGUGAUGAAUAGAAGAUAAAAUGCUAGCUGAAAAUGAAACCAUUUUUAACAUUUUCAUUGUUUGUUAACAAUUUGAAGAAGAAAAAAAAAACAAGUUUUGUUAACAAUACAUAUCACCCCUAAACGGGCAUUAAAAUUAUCCAGAUUUUAAAUUAUAAUAUUUCUUAAACAUAUUUUUUCACUUCUGUUUAACAAUACAAAACUAAUCAAGAAUUUUCAGUUUUGUUGAAAAUUAGAUACUUAAUUUCAAGUGUUCUCUCUAAUAGGAGAGUACAUGUCCUGAUCAUUUGCCGCACUAGUUGUUGUAAAUAGGAGUAUGAACCUUGCUUAUGAGAGCAUAAAUAUUGGAAUUCAAUGUCAAUUCCCAUUGAUUUGCUGCUGUCUAACAAACCAUGGCUUACAAGAUCUGACAAGAUUCUAAGCCUUUAGAGGCAAAUGUUUUAGUCUAGAAAGUCUGUCCAAAUCUAUCAACCGCCACAUUGUUGUUUAUCUCAUUAAUUGUCGUAUUUAAGGACUCGAUUUUCUUCUCUUGAUCAUCUUUGGGCUCAACAAAUUCCUUGGCAUUUAUCCCCCUCCUGAUUGAAUCCAAUUCCACCUUCUAGGCCUUGUUCGUCAUCAUCAAUAAUAAUGAGUUCCUUUCUGAGAGUAAACGUACUGUCGAUUUCAAUUGUGUUUCCGUUGUCUAUCAUGCAAUAAAUGAUGGAGUCUGGCGCAAUAGACGAUGGAGUCUGGCUCAUCUGAUAUUUGACCAGCUCCUUAGCCUUUCAUGAGAAUCAUUUUAGUCUUAGAAGUCAAAUCAUAAAUCAUAUAGUUCUUUUUCUCAGUAACUUUUGUAAUUGAGGACUUUGUCGUGAAAAUUUUGUUAGAAAGCACAUACCCUUCUCAUCAUUGUACUCUAGGGCUUACACUAAAACAAUUCCCAUGGUCAAGCCAGAAUUAGUUCAAUAAGCCUACUAUUUCCAACCUUAACUACUUGUUUUCCCAUAAGCCUACUAUUUGGAGAGUGUUGUUCAAUAAUUUCCACCUCGUCUUAAGUAAAACUAACAGAAAUUCUUUAUUUUCUCUCUAUCGUUUCCUUCUGCCUUGCGUUGAAUUGUUUUUCUUCUCUCUUUGUCAGUUAUUUAUGCAUUGUCAACCUACACUCCAUAUUUUUCUUUGAUGUGGGAAUUGGGUAUGUAACAUAAGAAAACUUACCAAACCAUAUCGAUCAACACUAUAUUUCUAACAAAUACCACAUACGCACAUGAAGUAUGAUCAAUGCCUAAUCAUAUUUGACUCAGUCUAAUAUUUUGGUUUGCAACGCACACAUCAACAUUUUUUAAAUAGAAAAUGUUAAAAGGAAAUUUUUUUUGCAUAUUUUAAAAGAUAGAAAACCUAAACGGAAAAAGGAGAUACAUGCCUAAACUGUUAAAAAUAUAAGAAAAAAAAUCGCGGAGGAUUUUUGCCUAUUGUUAAGGCGGAAAACAAGUAUGGGAUGACAUUGAUACAGGUAUGGAAGUUACUACUCACGCAUCUAUGGGUCUAGUUACUACAAUAGUAUUCUACCCACACCUUACCCAUUGUCAUCCCUAACCGAGAUCAAUUGCAAUAUGUAGAGAAAACAAGAUCAAAGAUUUCAUAGAAAAAAUUCGAGAAAAAAUAUAAUUACCAAACAACUUUAUUUUAAUUAUACAAAUUCAUAUGUUGAGGAUAUCUAUCAUAGAUUAAUGGUUUAACUUUAUUAAACAGCAAAGUAACAUUAACUCAAGGAAGAACAUUUAUUAAAUAACGUUGGAGUCAAUGAGGAACAUAAUCACAAAUUUGUGUAAAAAUACCUACUAUAGUUCUUUUUUUUUUGAAGAAGCUACCUACUAUAUUUCUAAUUGUAUUUCAACGAAAAUUCUAAGACGCAAAGUGAACCGCCGAGCAACGGAAGGUCCAUCUCCAUUAGCAAAAUUAGAACCAAAUAAUCUCUCGUCAAAAUCGAACAAUUCAUGUACUUCUUGCACAAGUCUUUGUGCAAGUUGCUCAAGUGAAUCAAAGGAAAAGACUUGGUGGAACAAGAUAGACUGAAACCAAUCUUGACCCUCUUCAAAGAACCUUUUGCAGCUCACUUCUUCACAAUUGUAAAGUAAAGUGUUGAGGCGUGUAACUGAAUUAGAAUCAACCGAAUGCGAGAGAACAUCAAUGUGAAAAUUUAACCAAUCAGUGGGCUUAAGUUUGGGACGCUGCACCUCUAGAUAGCGGUUCAUGCUUCGAAGGUAUUCAUACUGCUCUUGGUAAUGUGCAUGCAAUCCAUAAUAGUAACAUGAUGGUUCUGAAAAAUAUAAAACAUAAAUAAGAUAUAUGUGCAUAUGUAUAGUUGAUGAAUAAAAUAAAAUUAUUUACAAUUGUAUACACAUAGAUCAAAAUAAUCAUCGUAAUACCUUAAAGAUUCCAUGCAUGAUUCUCAUCAAUAACUAUAAUAAAGUAAUAGAGCAUGCUAACUUUUUCAUAAAAUUCUAAUUCUCAUAAAACAUACCUGACUGUGUAGAGAUUGAAGAAGCCAUGGUUAUUUCUUUUAUUUCGAAAGCUUAACUUUUUUACUCCUAUCUUCUUAGUUUCUUCUGUGCACUUUUUACUUAUGGAUGUAACCCUAUUUAUAGAUCAUGAGGAGAGAGUUUUGUUUCGGGAUUGUUAGCUUUAUGGACAAGAAAACAAUUUGUUACGAUUAUUUUGUUAGAAUAAUUAGUUUAGAUUUUGAUGUUAUAUAUCUUUGUAGAGAAUCCUAAAUAUCAUUCAAAUCAAUUAAUAAUAAUCAAUUAAAAGGUGAGUGAUUAUCUUAAAAUUGUAACAAAAUCAUUUAUUUAUUUUUACUAAUCAGUAACAUUAUCUUAUUUAUGUUAUUAUUUAUAAAUGAUGAGAAGGUUUCUUUUUGGGAUUGCUUUUGAUAAGAAAACGGUUUGUUUAGAUUUAGAUUUUAUAUGCCUUAGGUAUGACCAAUCAUAAAUAUAAUCUUUUAUUCAAAGAGUAAAUCCUAAAGAUCAUUCAAAUAAGUUACUAAAUUGUUUUUUUAGUUAUCAUUUCUCAAUUACAAACUACUUUUUGUCACGAGUACAAACAAUUUGUUUUUCUUUGAAGUAAAAACAAUUGAUAAAUUAAGAGAUAAGCAAUUCUCUUACAAGACCGGCCCAAUGUAUUUUUACGCCUAAAGCAAAAUUUAAAUAGAGACUUUUUAAGUGCGUUUAGAGAGAAUAAGACAAAACUAACAAAAAAGAAUUCAUAAGUUCCCUCAAUCGAAAGUAAUUCUAUAUGAUUUGUGUCAGACACUGAUUAAAUAUGAGUAUUUUGUCAGUCAGGAAUCAAACUUUGGAUUGUCACAUUGUGAGAGUAUAUCCUCUUUCGCUAUAAUCAACUCCGUUAGUGGGUGACCUUUUUAAUAUAUACAUUAUUUAAUAUUGACUUAUUUAUCAAUUGUUAGAGAUCAUAAGAUAACAAAAUAAUAUUGAAAAGAUACAAAUAUUGAAUUCCAUUGAUAGGAAUCUGAAGGCAAAAAGAAUUUAAGGUUCAAAUAACCAAUAAAAUAGGUAGCAUUAAAAUCGAACUUACAUCAACUAUGACUCUUUAUUUACAUACCACUUGAGCUUCGAGUGAACAGGUUUACGAAAUUUGAUGUACGAAAAUAUUUUCAAAGAUAAAAAUGAGGCAUAACAAUACAGGGCCUAAAAAACUCGGGGGCAUAAAGCCCUUGCUUUAGUGGUAGCCCCUUUAGGUCGGCCCUGUUCUCUUAGGAUUUGUUGUUUGAGAGUUUGGAGGGGAGGGGAAUGAAAGGCUUUGAGGGGUGGAAAAUAUGAGGGUAAUUGAAAAAUCUUUUAAAAAAUUUAAAAGAAUAGUUUUUUAGAGAAUGAUAAAUUAAUGCAUAUCAUAAUUAUAUUUUUUAUUUUAAAAAUAAUAUAACAACGUAGAUUAAAUUUGAAGAAUUCAUAUAAACCCUCCAAAAUCCCACAAAACUCUACUCCAGUACAACUUUUUAGUUCCCCAAAUGAGGAGGGUUUAGUAUUAUGAAGAACAGUUAACCCCCAAGCCCUCCACUUCCAUUUUCCUCUAUUUCUUCCACUUAUUUAUUCUUUUUUUCUCAAGACUUCCCAUUCCUUCCCCUCCAAACUCGCAAACAAAGUCUUAUAAGUUAUAACAUAACUAUUAUCUUCUUUUUGUUGAUUAUCACAUAUAUAUAAGUUACCGCAUUACUCUCGAUCUACAAACUAAAACUCUAAAUUUGGCAUAUUAGUGUGAAUUCAAAAUAUCAAAAAGGAAAAUAGCACACGACUUAGGUACGAUGGAUGAAGCAUUUGUGUGGCACAUCUCUUAAAGUUUCACCUAGCAUGUAUUCCAACAAAACACGCAUCCACCAGUUGCUAUCAAUACGUCAAAUUUCACACAUGCUUUUUUCGCACCACAUAGCAUAGCCCUAUCAAAAAAUAGCCAAUUGCUUAUUAUAGUUAUAUAUUAGAUUGAGAAGUUAAAGAUAGGUUUUUAAAGUUGGACUUAAAAGUUUAGGUAUCCUUUAAUUAAAAUGAACGGGAAAUGUGACUUGCCGGUAACAUCAAGUGACUUAAGAACUUGACCGUCUACUAGAGAGCAUCUAGUAGACUUUGAAGCUAAUUUGGUGAAAAGGGGAGUGCAUCUAUAACUGCCAACAAUUACUCCCUUAGUCUCUAUGUUUAACGGGUUAGGCAGUUACUUGUUGCACAAGUAAUUUAUUAGCUUAAUAUAAAUAAGUGUAGUUCCUCAUUGUAAUACUCAUAUUUUGUGAAUAAUAUCUCUUUCAAUUCAGUUACUCUCCGUUCAUAGUUCUUCAUUAUACAUGGUUUGAAAAGAGUGAAACUUAUCCAAAUCAAAUCACCAAAUGGUUUCAUCGAGAUUUUCGAUUCAAUAACAUCUCACACGUCCUUGGUUUACCUUUCACUCUACAAAUUCUUGGAGAGCCAACUGGCUAAUAGGAGAUUGUUACUGGAGCCUCUCAGCCUUCCUUUCUAUUUUUCAAUAUCUUUUUCUUUCUGGAAUCUUUCUUUCCAUUCCGAAUUAACAAGGGUCAAUUCCCAACCUAUUCCUAAAGGAAUCUAGGUGCCAGAAAUAUCACAACGUGAGGAUUGCAGCAAACAUGUGGAACGACCGUCGAGAUUCACCAACGAUUUAUUAGUUCCCUUUACCUUACCAAUGUUCUAUAUUUUCCUGUUUUUUCCUUCAAUCUCAUUUUUGUGCCUAUACUAACACAGAAUAAUUAUGCCAUAUAAUUUUUUAUGAUUCUGAAUGUCUGAUGCAUGACAGUUAUACAUAGAAUAUAAGAUUUAGCAUAUGAUAUUUCUCCAUACUUAUGACAAAUUCAUUGAAAUACAUUAGAGUUUCCCUUGUGUCAAAAUAGAAAAAUCUUGUAUUCCUUGUGAUGCUUGUUUUUAUGCUAAAAAUAAAAGACUUCCUUUUACACAAAGUUCUCAUAUCUCUGAAAAUUGUUUUGAUUUAAUUCAUAUGGAUAUAUGGGGCCCCUUAUCUUUCACAUCCAUGUUUGGCUUCAAAUAUUUUCUUAAUGCAGUUGAUGAUAUAUCCAUAUUUACAUGGAUUUAUCCCAUGAGGCUUAAAUCAGAAGCAUAAAAUCUUAUCAAAUCAAUUGUGAAAAUGGUUAAUACAAAAUUUAACACUAAAAUCAAGCGUAUUAGAUUUGAUAAUGGCAAUGAGUUUCUUAGCAAAGACUUUUACUCGGAAAAUGAAAUUUUACAUCAAACUUCAUGUGUUGCAACCCCUCAUCAAAAUGGAAUAGUAGAGAGAAAGCAUAAGCAUAUUAUUUAAAUCUCAUUUACCAAAUAUUUUUUUAGCACAUGUUGUGCACAUCAUAAAUAGGUUGCCGGCACCUUUCUUAACUCAAAAGUCUCCUGACCAAAUUCUUUUCAUCUAUUUACCUAACAUUUCUUUACUUAAAGUUUUUGGUUCUCUAGUUUUUGCUUCUACUUUACAAUUGAAUAGAAAAAUUUGGACUCUAGAUCAAGAAAAUGCAUUUAUUUGGGUCUUAAAAUUGGUGUCAAAGGACAUAUCUUAUUUGACUUGCACUCAAAAGAAGUUUUCUUAUCUAGAGAUGUCAUUUACUUUGAAAAUAGUGUUCCUUAUCAAUCCAAAAUGUCUACUUAUAAUAUGAAAAAAAUUGCAUAUGCUUCUCCUUAUUAUUUAUUCCUUGAUGAUAUCGUUAUUUCUAUAUUCUCAUUUAUGUCUUAUCUCGAUCUCUCUUCAGCACAUAAGCAUUUUACUCUAAAUAUAUCCAGUAUCCCUGAACCAAAUACAUAUGAGGAAGCGAUGUGUAAUGAAAAUUGGAGAUUAGCUAUGAAAUUUGAGUUAACUGCUUUGAUGAAGAAUAACACAUAGAGAGUGACACAGCUUCCCCCUCAUAAAAGAGCAAGUGGGUUUUUAAAAUCAAACUACAUUUUGAUGGAACUAUUAAAAAGUAUAAAGCUAGGUUAGUGUCUAAAGGCUUCACUCAAACAAAAGGUCUUGUAAAGUAAAGAUGACCAUAAUCAGAGUUUUACUAGCUUUCGCGCUUCUUCUCAAAAUUGGCCUCUUUUUCAAAUUGAUGUUAACAAGGCUUUUCUUCAUGGACAUCUUGAUGAAGAAGUUUACAUGCAACCUCCACUAGACCUUGCUCUUUCUCAACCUGACUUAGUCUGCGAGCUUCAAAGAUCACUUUAUGGCUCAACCAAGCUAGCAGACAAUUAUAAUGAUUAAUAAAUAGUAAAAGCUAUAAUAGAAAGGAUGUAUAUAUGUACUGACAACUGAAUUGCAUAAUUUAAUGUUUUCAAGAAUGAGAGUCCCCUAAGACUAGAUACAAUGCCUCAGGACUACCUUACACACAGUGUAAAUGACCAAUACACAGUCAUAUCUAUCCUGUUUUGUGGCCAUGAUUUCAUAACUAGGAGUUGCACAAUUACUACUUCUGUGCAACCUCAGCAAGUAACAAUCAAAUGAAUUAUUUUCCAAAUAAAUUCAAAACAAAUAUAUCAUACAAAAUACUAUAAGAAAUCUGUUCACUGUAUAUAGAGUAGCAUAAUCAUAAAAGACUCAAAUAUUUCAUAUGACAAUAUCCCAUGUUACAAAUUUUACGUAGACUGCUUAAGUGUCAGAAUUAUUGAAAACUGCAAUAUGAUAAUGUUUAGUUAACAAGAGAAACCUGAAAUAUAUCAUCAUCUCUUCUACAAGGAAUUAGUAGAUGACAGUAAAUUGCAUCAUAGCAUGAAAAUUAAAUUCCUAAUCAUCCUUCCUAAAAACAACUAAAAGAAAAGAAAACAAUGCAAUUCUUUGAACAGCCUCUACAACAAAACUAAUAGCGAAUAGGACUCCAAAUGUCCUAUUCGGAAGGAGACUUUUUUUCCUGAUCUUUUGUUGCACUAGUUGUUGCAGGAUUUAUGUUUCCAUUUGCAGUCGGAGAAGUUGUUGGCAAAGAUUCUUAUUCUUCAAUGGCCUUUUUGGAAUCUGAAUUACCAUCUUGAGCAGCAGCAGAAGAAGAUUCUCCAGCUGAUUUCUUCUUUUGUUCCAUGGAAGCGGCUGCAGUAAUCUAAUUAACCAAUAGAUAAAAAGGUAACUCACUUUUAAUAAAACAUAAUGUGUGCAACUUUCUCUAAUACUCUCUUUUUAACAUUAUUUAUUACCAAGGUGAAAUUUAUGUAAGUUCUACCAAUUGUUAAGAUGAUUCAAGAUUUCAGACAUGAAUUUUAUUUUAUCAAAGCAAGAAAAAUUAAAAUGCAAAUCAGGAGGAGGCCUGAACCUUAUUACAACAUAUAUGUAGGCCAACUAUGACCAAUCUAUACUAAAACAAAAUUAUGCUAAUAAAAAGAGCACAACUCAGAUGAAAGCUUCUAAAGACUCAAACAUUUAUGUGGGCUAACCAAGCCCUCCAUUUGUGUUAAAUGACUCUGCCUAGAAACAUAAGCCAUGUUUUCCAUUGCCUAUGAGGGUCCCACACAAACGGUUUCAUUAGGAUGGUGAUAUUGAGAUUUUUCUUGGAUCUUGUAUUUAUUCUAGCAGAACUUGCUUCAGCCAUAGACUUGGGGCUUUUCUGUUUUUUAUUCUUCUUGCCACGCUUGACUUUGCCAACUGUUUCAGUGUCGCAAAGCAAAUACUGAUCAGCACCUGUUUACAUCAUCGCCACUACUAACAUCUUUCUGAUGAGAAGUUGAAGAAUUACUGCCAGUGCCUCCCUCAUUCAAUGCUACAUAAUCUUCACCACUUUCUUUCUGAUGAUCCUCCUCCAUUUUUGAGCUUCCCUGAUUCAUUGCUACAUCAUCACCUUUCUGAUCAGUAGUUGAAGAAUCACUACCAGUGCCUCCCUCAUUCAUUGCUGCAUCAUCUUUCUGAUCAGUCGUAGAACCAAUCAUCUUUUGUGCCUCAUUCUCAAGAUUCUUCUCCAUUUUUUGGUCACAAGAAGAAUCAAAAUCAAGAAAGUAACUAUGGAAUGUAAAGAGCCAGAGAGAGAGAGAGAGAGAUGGAUUUGAUUUGCAUGUACACAAGGAGUUAUAUUUAUAGUACGAAUGAAGAGUUAGCGAAGAAGGAAUAAUGUAAAUAACUGGUUAUAACUAACAUAACUGAAAAGUUCUAACUGAUCAAUAAAUGUUAACAAUUUGAAAAUUCUGUAAGUUCUUCAAGACCUUUUGUAACAAUGAAAAUGGUAAGAGACCCUGCUUUGCAGGUCAAACGCAAAAUCUAUUUUUCAUGGGAAAGUAGUUGUCAUUGUUCUGAUCAAACAGAAACAAAGUAAAAUUCAUUGUUGUCAACUACGCAAAUGCGUAUGCUUGGAAAACAUUAAGGAUAGUAUAGCAUAGCGUUUAUCAUAUAAAUGUUUAUGUAUGAGACUAUAAGCUAUCUCUAUAACAUUAUAAAAUAAAUUCGAACUGUUUUCAUGUAAGUUACAAGUUGUUUAAUAAAUUAUCUUUGAGAGUUGAUGGAAAUAAGCUGAAAAUAGUUUAUGAUCAUGUAAUAAUCUGUUUUCAUAAGCUCUCUCAAACAGUUUUCAUAAGCUUAAUUAAGUUACUUUGAACGGACCCUUAACUGCUAAAAAUUGGUAAAUUGAAAUGCAAAAAGACUUCUUCAAAAUCUCUUGUAUAAUUAGUAAUCACUAAUCAUGAAGUAGUUUGAAGUGAAAUCUUGUUAAUUUAUCAGUAAAACCAAUUUACAUGACUUACUAGUCCUUUAAAUUUUACGGCUUUAAAGUUCCAUUAAAAGUAGAGAAAGUUCUCCAAUUGCAAAUUUUUCAGUUCCGAUUCAGUGGAUGGAUAAUAAUAAGUUUUUCUCUAGAAACAAGAAAGGAUUGAUAAAACACAUAAAGUAAUGUUUUUCAACUUUUUUUAAGAGUAAAACAAAUGAAAAUCUUGUUAAGAGUCAUAGGAUUAGAAUCUUGAGUUCGAAUCCAACAUUGGACAUACAACAUCGUUAAAUCUCCUACGGAGAGUUUUCCGCCAAUUUAGGCCCAACAAGGCUCGAGGGAUUAGUGUAAAUUUAUACUAUAGAAGAUACCAAUCAUCAUUAAAUAAUUGUUUAACCUUAUCAAACAAAGCCAAAAUAUUUUAACUUUUUUUUAAUAGUGUAAUCAAAACAAGGAAAGUAACAGUUUAUAAUUUGCAAAAUAAUGCAUACAACAUAUAUAAUUUCUAAUUAUAUCUCAAUGAUGACUGUAAGACGCAAAGCGAAUUGACGAGCAUCGGAAGUUUCAACACAAUCACCAAGAUCAGAAUCAAAUAAUCUCUCAUCGAAAUCGAACAAUUCAUGAACUUCAGGCACAAGUCUUUUUAUUGAAAAUUAGACACUUAAUUUCAAGUGUCUUCUACAAAGGAGACUUCAUGUCCUGAUCAUUCGCAGUACUAGUGGUUGUCGUUUUGGGAUUUAUGUUUCCACCUGCAGCCGGUGGAGUUGGUGGCAAAACUCCAGUUGUUGGUGAUCGACUGUCCUUCUAACAUUCUAGGAGCUUCUAACUCUUCAAGAACCUUCUGUGAAUCAGAAUUACUAUUUCGAGCAGCAGCAGCAGUCAAAAUUCUUGAGUUGAUUCCUUAGCAACGUUUGUCACAAAACUGGACGCAACAAUCUGAUUAACCAGAAGAUAAAGAUUGUUAAUUCAAGUUACUCACUUUAAUAAAACAAAUGAGUGCGGCUUUACACAGUCUUUUUAACACUACUGUGUAAAGAAAAUAAAGCAAAGAUUGUUAAUAACACUAAUCAUUCCAUAAACUAUGAUUUGCUUACCUCAAUAGGUCCUGCAGCUUUGAGGGAAUUCACAGCAGUACUUCCGAAAGUAAUUCCCUUAUCAUCAAUCAAGGAAGGGAAGAAAAACACACAGAUGGAUUAUCUUGUAGUGUUUCUGUUCUAUCUCUUUCAAUCUCUUGUGCUUCUUCUACUUCAGUUGAGGAGAGUUUCAUGCAGUGCAUGUCAACAAUAGUUAGUAACUAUUCUGAAUCCACUGAAAAAACAGUGUUUAUCAACUCAUCCUUGUAUCCACAAGUGUUGGAAUCAUUGAAACAAAAUCCAAGAUGGCUGAAUUCAUCAAGCAAGCCUCUUCUCAUUAUGACACCUUCCCAUGAAUAAGAAAUUCAAGGAGCCAUACUAUGCAGCAAAGAGAUUGGUGUGCAGAUUAGGGUUGUUAGUGGUAACCAUGAUUAUGAAGGAAUAUCUUAUCUUUGUAAGACACCCUUUAUCAUGAUUGAUCUCAUCAACAUCCGUUCGAUCGACAUUAAUCUUGCCGAUGAAUCUGCUUGGAUUCAGGCUGGUGCAACAUUAAGUGAACUUUACUAUAAAAUCUCCGAAACAAAUAAAGUUCAUGGAUUCCCUUCAGGUGAAUUAGUUUGACUUUCUGAGACUAUCUACUAGCACAAGCAUUUAUGAGACGAUCUGAGAGAGCUUGUGAAAAUAGCUUAUGACAUGUUCAUAAGCUGUUUUCUGCUUAUUUAUAUAAACUCUCUAAGAUUGCUUGUGAAAAAAGAUUAUAACUUUUUGUGAAAAUAGUCUAGACUUUAUUUUAUCUUGUUAUAAAAUUACUUAUUUAUAAGCGCUUAGUUAAGUUGUUUUUCCAAACAGGGUUAUGUCCAAGCGUUGGAAUAGGCAGUCAAAUCAGUGGAGGUGGAUUUGGUACCUUGUUUAGGAAGCAUGGUCUAGCAGCAGAUCAUCUUGUUGAUGCUUACGGUCAUCUACAAGGUAAUAAAUUAUUCAAAACAACUUAUGUACGAGGGGACCUCAACUAGUGUGAUGAGGACAAAGAGUUGAGCCACAAAAGAUUUUUCCACUACAAUAGUUUUGAACAUACGUACGAAACACAUUGAAAAGCCAACAUUGAGAUGGAUGCUUUUAGAAGAUGAUAUGUUCCUACUUGAAGACUUAAAGGAGAAAUUAAAUGGGAGAUGAGAGGCUUGGAGAUAAGUCUAAGAAGCGUAAGGCUUCCGUCGUAGAAGCAAGAGAGGGUAUUCAAUAAAACUUAGCAAAAGACAACAUUUCCAUCAUAGAUUUGAAAGUUUGCGAUAAUCUCAUUCCACGGCUUACACAACUUAGAUAUCUUGAGUCCAAAGUGUAAAAUGGAGGUCUCAUGUGGCUGAAAUGGAAGAUCCUCCGAGGUGUUUUAUGUGAUACAAAAAUAGCGCUCAAAUUGAAGAGAAAAUGUUACCGUAUGUUGUAACACCGACUAUAUUUUAUGAUGUGUUGGCAAUAAAAAAAAGUAACCCUAGAAUAAAAUAAGAAUUGAAUGAGUGAGAAUAUUGUGUUGAAUGUCUAGUAAGACUAGACAAAAUAGGAUUAAAAAUAGCAAUAUUAUAGAGUUGAGGUAACACCUAUCUGGUAAGACUCGACUUAGGGAAAACCUGUAGAUUCUGUGGUAAAAAUAACAUAAAAUGAAGGACCUAUUAGAGAGGCUAUUAAGAAAGACCUAGAUACUAAUGAGUUGGAAUGAGAUGUAUAUAUGGCAGAUUAUUGUGAUGUCUAUUGAUCGAUGUAGUUGACCCUAAAGGCUGGUUGUUGUUCUUAAAAAUCUUAACAAGAAAUGAUAGUACUAGCAAACCUUGAAUUAUAAUGCAUAGCUUAUCAUGUGCUAAGACAACCAUUCAUUGAUUAACUUUAGACUGAUAAAAUAAGGGGAUCCAUGAUUUAAGAAGAACUACAACAAAGUGAACUGCUACAGCAUGUUUUGCAAAAUCAUUCACCGCCAUAAAAUAAAAUAAAAUCAACUAUAACAAGAAUAAAAGUAAAGGAAAAAAGGUCUGAGGAUUCCAUAUAAAAGAGUCCAUUGAAGAGCUGAACCAUUGUAUUUGUACUUCAACAUUUCAAUCCCAUAUCUUUCUUUAUCUCUCAACCUUUUCUUCUGAUAAACCUGCAUUAAAUUAACAAAAUAAAGUACAAAAAAGUCUAAGAUAAAUAAUACCAAAAUAUAAGACCAAGUUCUAACAGAUAAUAGCAGCUUCAUGUCUUUGUUUUGUUUUUGACAUGCAAAUAUGUAUUUUGAUUCUGUAGUUUGCAUGCAAUUAACCUAUUCCAGAUAUACAAUUAACCUUUCCUUUACCUCCCCUUCAUCAUCAUUAAACAAGCCAGAGACAAAUAUGUUAAGGCUCUGUUUGCGAGUUUUGAGGGGAGGGAAAGGAAAGGCUAAGGAGGGGAAGGGAAGGGAGGGGAGAGGAGGGGGAAAGGAUGGAAAACCCUUCCCUUGUUUGGGAGUUAAGAAACCAACAAGAAAGGGAAAAUGAGAGCUUUUGUGAUAAUUUUACUAUUUUACCCUUUUUUCUUCUUAAAAUCAAUAAUUUGUGUUAUACUUUAUAAUUAUUACAUAAAAAUAAUAUUUUUUUUACUGAUCUUAUAAAAAUUCUUGAAAACAUUUUUUAAACAAGUGAUACAAUAAUGAUAAAUUAAUUUCACUAUAUAUACAAAAAUUAUAUUUCCUUUUAUUUCAUAAUUAUUAUAUUUAGGUACAAAUUUCAUUAAUAAUUUUUAAAAAAAUAAAAGAAUGAUACAAGAAUUGAAUUUUGAAUUAUUGUAAGGAUAAAAUUGUCAAUUUGUAUGUUUAACCCCCCCGAAAACCCCCAAUAUGGGGGAACAAUGAGAUUGGACCAAAUAUAAUCACAUAAUGACAAUCUUGAUUUCUUUUGUAUGUUUGAAAUAAGUGUACCUCCAAUCGAAGAAUCCUUAGAUGCAUUACUUGAAACAUGAUACAGGACACCUUUCAGCUGUUCAGAACCCAGGUCCACCGUGACUAUAUAUCCGUCAUCAAAUUUCCCGUCAAUUGUUCCAUGCACUGAAGAACCGAGUGUUUGUGCUGGAGUAAUUGGACUAACUGCAUAUAAGAAAGCAAAUCUUCACCAGACAUAAACGAAAAGUAUAUCUACUAACCAACAUAGAUAAGAACUUUGUUUGCAUAACAACUUAAUAAAGCGCUUAUAGCAUACCAAUACGUUCAGUGAAUCUUCCCCCACCGGAACCAGGAGGGCGUCCUUUUCUUUUCUGGGAAGAAGUUUCUGCAGAAGUAGUUUUAGGUCCUUCUUCUCUCUUCUUUUUUGAUCUGAAACCAAGAUUAGUUUUAGGGUUUACCGUUUCUAGUUAUCUGAAAUAGCAAGAUCACUCGUUAUAUAUGCUAUGAUUCCAGUGAACUUUGAUAGAUCACACAGCAUCCUUACUAUUUUGUAUUCAAAUACAAGCAAGUAAUAUGCUCGAUUAUCACACGGUACACAUAACUUGUGCCAGGGUACACACAACUGAAAGUGACGUUAAAUAAAACAAUACAGGACAAUGAGCCUUCUGAUUUUAGCAUAAGUAUCAGUAAGGAUCUAAAAUGGCCGACAAACAUUAUGUCAUUACAGCGUUUUAAAAUGAAUUUAAUCAUGAAGCAUGUUCAUAUCUUAAAUUCUUAGAAUGUACCACGAUGCACCCAAUCAGUUAUACAUAACAAAUAGUGUUGUCAAUGCGGAUCAUGGAAAAUUGUGGUAUGUUCAAAUCCCGCUAUAAACAGUGUGACAGCAGCUAUAUCCGCAACUUGAAAAAAUUUUGUACUAAAUAGCGCACUGCAGAAUAAUAGUGCUUUUUGCAAAUGCCGCUGCACUAUGGCGGCUAUUCAACAUUGAUAACAAAUAAAAAAGAUACCUUGGUUGAAGUUGGCUAGUUUGAGUCUCUUUCAACUCCAUGCAUGGAUUGCAUACUAGUUUUGACUCACCCUUGUUAGAUUCAGAAAUUGACCCUACAAACAGUUCAUCAAAAUUACAUAUUUAAUCAACAGGAUAGCAAAUUACAUAGUGUCACAGCUAGGGAAGCAAGUGUGUGCAUUUCAAACCUCUGCAAUUGAAACAGAUAUUAGAAUUCUGCAUAGUGAAAUCACCCAGGACCAUUUGGACCACUUUAUCCAAUGUGUCCAACGGAAGACUUGAACAGGCAUUCAUGACAUCCCGAAGGAGUUUUCUAUUCUCAAGGUAAGUAUACUCCGGAGGACGUUUAUUAGCACUACCAGCAUGCAACUCAAAAACAUUCGGCGAGACAAC
rnacentral:lncRNA from 1 species